UACGUAGGGGGCAAGCGUUAUCCGGAAUUACUGGGUGUAAAGGGAGCGUAGACGGUGAGGUAAGUCUGGAGUGAAAGGCAGGGGCCCAACCCCUGGACUGCUCUGGAAACUGUGUCCCUUGAGUAUCGGAGAGGCAAGCGGAAUUCCUAGUGUAGCGGUGAAAUGCGUAGAUAUUAGGAGGAACACCGGUGGCGAAGGCGGCUUACUGGACGACCACUGACGCUGAGGCUCGAAAGCGUGGGGAGCAA
rnacentral:rRNA from 1 species